CGAACGCUGGCGGCGUGCUUAACACAUGCAAGUCGAACGCGAAAGGGACUUCGGUCCUGAGUAAAGUGGCGCACGGGUGAGUAACGCGUAGAUAACCUGUCUUCAUGUCUGGAAUAAUACGCCGAAAGGGGUACUAAUACCGGAUAUCUUGCUUUUCAUAAGUUAUGCAAGCAAAGGUGGCCUCUGCAUAUGCUACUGCAUGAAGAGGGGUCUGCGUACCAUUAGCUAGUAGGUGGGGUAAUGGCCUACCUAGGCGACGAUGGUUAGCGGGUCUGAGAGGAUGAUCCGCCACACUGGCACUGGAACACGGGCCAGACUCCUACGGGAGGCAGCAGUGAGGAAUAUUGCGCAAUGGGGGAAACCCUGACGCAGCGACGCCGCGUGAGUGAGGAAAGGCCUUCGGGUCGUAAAGCUCUGUCAAGAGGAAAGAAGUGUACAAUGGCUAAUACCUGUUGUAUUUGACGGUACCUCUAAAGGAAGCACCGGCUAACUCCGUGCCAGCAGCAGC
rnacentral:rRNA from 1 species